rnacentral:rRNA from 1 species
CCCUUAGAUGUCCUGGGCUGCACGCGCGCUACACUGAUGUGUCCAGUAAGCACCUAACCUCUUCCGAAAGGAACGGGUAACCUUUGCAAAGCACAUCGUGAUGGGGAUAGAUUAUUGCAAUUAUUAGUCUUGAACGAGGAAUUCCUAGUAAGCACAAGUCAUCAGCUUGUGUUGAUUACGUCCCUGCCCUUUGUACACACCGCCCGUCGCUCCUACUGAUUGAAUGUUCCGGUGAGCUCUUCGGACUGCGCGGUCUGCAGUUUCUGCGUUCCGUGCGGAAAGUUGCGCAAACCUUAACAUUUAGAGGAAGGAGAAGUCGUAACA